AGGAUCAUUAUUGAAAUAAACCUGAUGAGUUGCUGCUGGUUCUCCAGGGAGCAUGUGCACACUUGUCAUCUUUAUAUCUCCACCUGUGCACCUUUUGUAGACCUGGAUAUCUCUCUGAACGCUAGUCGUUCAGGACUGAGGAUUGAUAUCAUGUCUCUCCUUACAUCUYCAGGCCUAUGUUUCUUCAUAUACCCCAAUKNAUGUCAUAGAAUGUAAUCAAUGGCCUUUGUGCCUAUAAACCUAUACAACUUUCAGCAACGGAUCUCUUGGCUCUCGCAUCGAUGAAGAACGCAGCGAAAUGCGAUAAGUAAUGUGAAUUGCAGAAUUCAGUGAAUCAUCGAAUYUUUGAACGCACCUUGCGCUCCUUGGUAUUCCGAGGAGCAUGCCUGUUUGAGUGUCAUUAAUAUAUCAACCUCUUCAGCUUUUGCUUGUUGAGUGUUGGAUGUGGGGGUCUUUUUGCUGGYCUUCCCAGGUCAGCUCCCCUGAAAUGCAUUAGCGGAACAAUUUGUGGACCGUUCAUUGGUGUGAUAACUAUCUACGCUAUUGACGUGAAGCAGUUCAGCUUCUAACAGUCCAUUCACUUGGACAAAUUUUCAUUAAUGUGACCUCAAAU
rnacentral:rRNA from 1 species